UGCUGUCCCCUGAGAGGAUCAUGCCUGAGGAGUUUAGCAUGUCCUAUGAACGGAUCCUCUCAGAUGAACAGCUUCU
ensembl:miRNA gga-mir-12231 gga-mir-12231